AACGAACGCUGGCGGCGUGCCUAACACAUGCAAGUCGUGCGAGAAAGUUCCUUCGGGAGCGAGUAAAGCGGCGCACGGGUGAGUAACACGUAGGUAACCUGCCCCCCAGUCUGGAACAACUAGAGGAAACUCUAGCUAAUGCCGGAUGAGACCACGAUCCCUUCGGGGGUUGCGGCCAAAGAUGGCCUCUACUUGUAAGCUAUCGCUGAGGGAUGGGCCUGCGGCCAUUAGCUUGUUGGUGAGGUAACGGCUCACCAAGGCUGUGAUGGCUAGCUGUCUGAGAGGAUGACCAGCCACACUGGGACUGAGACACGGCCCAGACUCCUACGGGAGGCAGCAGUGGGGAAUAUUGCGCAAUGGGC
rnacentral:rRNA from 1 species